GGGAAUCUAUGUUGCUGGUUUGCGAGAAGAGAUUGUUGCUUCUUCUGAGCAAGUUCUCGAUCUUAUGGAAUUUGGAGAAUCUCAUCGUCAUAUUGGAGAGACAAAUAUGAAUUUGUACAGUAGUAGAUCCCACACUAUUUUCCGCAUGAUAAUUGAGAGUCGGGAUAAAGUUGAAGAUGGAGAAGCUGGAAAUUCUUGUGAUGCUGUUCGU